GCUGCGAUGUUAAUGUCAAAUGGCAGGGGUUUGGUUUUGCUGGAAAUGAUUGAUUUAUGAUUUGGCAAUUCUAUGGACAUUGACUAGGUGCGAUGUGGUGGCGAUAUUUAUUAAUGUAACCACAAAAAUUGGACAACAAACUUGGCUUCUCGUUUAUUCUUUUUCUUUUUGUUUUGAGUAUAGACGUUUGAAUGUAUGUUCAGGCACACUUACAAGACCAAUUAAAAAUUAUAAGCAGUCCCCUCAAGUCAAAGGCUCUCCCUUAAAGUACUUCCCAUACAUAUAAGACCACCUUGAUGAAAAACAUUCAACAUUAAGAAGGAAAAACUGCGUGGCCACCUACGCAACUCGACGCCAAAUGAUGCCGUUAAGAUGCUUAUAGAAAAAGAAGAGCGGCGAGUGGGGUGUGGGGAGCAAAUACUUCAAAAGGCAUUUAAAACAAAAACGAAA